rnacentral:rRNA from 1 species
AUUGAACGCUGGCGGCAGGCCUAACACAUGCAAGUCGAGCGGAGCGGCGGACGGGUGCGUAAUACCUAGGAAUCUGCCUGGUCGUGGGGGAUAACGUCCGGAAACGGGAGCUAAUACCGCAUCCUAUCAGAUGCGCCUGUGUCGGAUGAGCUAGUUGGUGGGGUAAGGGCCUACCAAGGCGACGAUCCGUAACUGGUCUGAGAGGAUGAUCAGUCACACUGGAACUGAGACACGGUCCAGACUCCUACGGGAGGCAGCAGUGGGGAAUAUUGGACAAUGGGCGAAAGCCUGAUCCAGCCAUGCCGCGUGUGUGAAGAAGGGCUUCGGAUUGUAAAGCACUUUAAGUUGGGAGGCGUUACCAACAGAAUAAGCACCGGCUAACUCCGUGCCAGCAGCCGCGGUAAUAC